rnacentral:rRNA from 1 species
GACGAACGCUGGCGGCGUGCUUAACACAUGCAAGUCGAGCGGUAAGGCCCUUUCGGGGGUACACGAGCGGCGAACGGGUGAGUAACACGUGGGUGACCUGCCCCUCAGCUCUGGGAUAAGCCUGGGGAAACCGGGUCUAAUACCGGAUAUGACUCCAUGACGCAUGUUGUGGGGUGGAAAGCCUUGUGCGGCUGAGGAUGGGCCCGCGGCCGUAUCAGCUUGUUGGUGGGGGAUGGCCUACCAAGGCGACGACGGGUAGCCGGCCUGAGAGGGCGACCGGCCACACUGGGACUGAGACACGGCCCAGACUCCUACGGGUGGCAGCAGUGGGGAAUCUUGCGCAAUGGGCGAAAGCCUGACGCAGCGACGCCGCGUGAGGGAUGACGGCCU